rnacentral:rRNA from 1 species
UACGUAGGGCGCAAGCGUUGUCCGGAAUUACUGGGCGUAAAGCGCACGUAGGUGGCUUUGCAAGUCGAUUGUGAAAUCCCCGGGCUUAACCUGGGAACUGCAGUCGAGACUGCUUUGCUUGAGUAUGGGAGAGGGAGGUGGAAUUUCCGGUGUAGCGGUGAAAUGCGUAGAUAUCGGAAGGAACAUCAGUGGCGAAGGCGACCUCCUGGACCAAUACUGACACUCAAGUGCGAAAGCGUGGGGAGCAAACAGG